rnacentral:rRNA from 1 species
GACGAACGCUGGCGGCGUGCCUAACACAUGCAAGUCGAACGGAAAGGCCCUGAUUUUGUGGGGUGAUCGAGUGGCGAACGGGGGAGUAACACGUGAGUAACCUGCCCUACACUUUGGGAUAACUUCAGGAAACUGGGGCUAAUCCCAGAUCGGAGACCCUGUUGCAGGGUGGGGGUGGGAAAGUUUCGGCGGGCGGGGAUGGACUCGCGGCUUAUCAGCUUGUUGGUGGGGGAGUGGCUUACCAAGGCUUUGAAGGGUAGCCGGCAUGAGAGGGUGACCGGCCACAAUAGGACUGAGGUACGGACCAGUCUGCAAUGGGAGACAACGGUGGGGAGCAUUACACAAUGGGCGGGCGCGUGAUGCAGCAGCGCCGCGUUCGGGAUGCCGUUCUUCGGGUUGUAAACCGCAUUCGCUUGUUACGAAGCGUGAGUGACGGUAAUGAGUAAAGAAGCACCGGCUAACUACGUG